rnacentral:lncRNA from 1 species
CAGUGCAAAACUCUUAUUCUCUUAAAAGAGUUCUUUGGGUACCAGAUUACUCUGAUGUUUUGAUAUUUUUUGAGGUUUUAGCAAAAAUUGUCAUAUCACACUUUUUACAAAAAUCUCAGUCCUUGUCCUGAUGCCAAUCCAACAGUGAGGUCAUGGUUUUGAGACAAAGAUAAAUAAUUUUUUGCCUUAUUUCAUUUUUCAAUAUUUCCAGAUUUCUUGCCUUAGAAUUUAUGUUAACAGGGACCAGAAAAACUUAAUCCUUAUAAAUAUUCAUAGAUUGGAUCAUAGAAAUAAGAAUAAUAUUCAUUGUUGCCAUUCUUGACAUUUUUCUAGUCAGACAAAUUUCUCUGUUAAUAUAAGGGACAGAGGAAAUCUCCAUUGUUCUAAGAAUCUCUACCUAGAGAUUUUUCUUUAAGACUUACAUUUUUUUAAAACA